rnacentral:misc_RNA from 1 species
UUACGGGACCUAUAGAAUAUUUUGGGAUGGAGGUGAGCUAGAUUUAGUUGAUGAGCAUGUCAAUGCUGUUUGAUGUCUCUGGUCAAAUAUAAUGGAUGACGAAUGAAAGCAUACAAACAUUUUUCAUACUUUCAUUAGGAGUGGCGAUAGGUCUUGUAAGUGGAAGCAUAAUGAAUGUGAUAUCUAAAUCGGCCAUUGAUAGACUCAACCUUAAAACCAAGCCAGUAGCCGCAUCCUAAACCUUUUCGAUUUGCUUAGGUGAAUAACAUGACAGUACUUGUCAUUAAGAGAUGUCUUGUACCCAUUUAAAUUAGUCAUUUUAAGGAUGAG